rnacentral:tRNA from 10 species
UUGGGAUAGCUCAGUUGGUAGAG